AGCAGCCGCGGUAAUUCCAGCUCCAAUAGCGUAUAUUAAAGUUGUUGCAGUUAAAAAGCUCGUAGUUGAAUUUCGGGAUCGACGGGUCGGUCGCGCCUCUGGUGUGUACUGGCCCUGUCGGUUUCUCCCUUCUGACGAACCACGAUGUCAUUAAUUUGGUGUCGUGGGAAAUCAGGACUGUUACUUCGAAAAAAUUAGAGUGUUUAAAGCAAGCAUUCGCUUGAAUACAUUAGCAUGGAAUAAUGAAAUAGGACGUUUGAUCUUAUUUUGUUGGUUUCUAAGAUCGACGUAAUGAUUAAUAGGGAUAGUUGGGGGCAUUAGUAUUCAAUUGUCAGAGGUGAAAUUCUUGGAUUUAUUGAAGACUAACUACUGCGAAAGCAUUUGCCAAGGAUGUUUUCAUUAAUCAAGAACGAAAGUUAGGGGAUCGAAGACGAUCAGAUACCGUCGUAGUCUUAACCAUAAACUAUGCCGACUAGGGAUCGGAUGAUGUUAAUUUUUAAUGACUCAUUCGGCGCCUUAC
rnacentral:rRNA from 1 species